UAAAUAUAGGUUAAAAGCCAAGGGAGAGGUUUUUAUUAAACUGUAAAGACCUCGGGCCUUCGGCCCUCGGUCUUCACAGUUUAAUAAAAACCUCUCCCUUGGCUUUUAACCUAUAUUUAUAUCACACUUGCGUCGGUUUUCUUUGUUCGUCCGAGGUUUAUAACUAGCUUAUAGACCUUGAAUAAAUGAUUAGAUUAAACUUGUAGACAAAACGCGAGAAUUUUUCAUUAAAAAUUUUUGAAAAUGACAAAAUAUGUUGGAAAACCUCCGCAAGUGUGAUAUAAGUUAGUUAUAAACCGAGUAAGUCGGUUUAUAACUGAUAUAUUGCCCUCGGACGCUACGCGUCCUCGGGUCAAUAUAUCAAUUAUAAACCUCCUACUCGGUUUAUAACUCUUACUUGCCAUGCGAGGGACUCGAGCAACAUUAAUCCCUUUAUUGCAUCACACACGUGGAGCGACGCUAAAAAAUCAGCAUGAGCUCCACCUUUGAAUUUACUAUAUGAGUAAAUUCUUAAACACGUCCGAAUUUAUCAUUAUGAUAAAUUCGCGGCAAAUUUUGAAUUUAUCAUAAUAAUAAAUUCGCGGCACCUAAUA